rnacentral:rRNA from 1 species
UACGUAGGGUGCGAGCGUUAAUCGGAAUUACUGGGCGUAAAGCGUGCGCAGGCGGUUUGUUAAGCCAGAUGUGAAAGCCCCGGGCUCAACCUGGGAACUGCGUUUGGUACUGGCAAGCUAGAGUACGGCAGAGGGGGGUGGAAUUCCACGUGUAGCAGUGAAAUGCGUAGAGAUGUGGAGGAAUACCGAUGGCGAAGGCAGCCCCCUGGGAUAAUACUGACGCUCAGGCACGAAAGCGUGGGGAGCAAACAGG